rnacentral:rRNA from 1 species
GUCUAUGGCCAUAACACCUUAAAUGCGCCCGAUCGCAUCUGAUUUUGGAAGCUAAGCAGUGUUGGGCCUGGUUAGUACAUGGAUGGGAGACCACCUGGGAAUACUAGGUGCUGUAGGCU